AAGAGAGAGUCAAAAGACCGUGAAACCGCUCAGAGUAUAAGCCAAUGGAGCUUGGAAGGCUUCCGCAGGUGGCGUUCAUCAUACGUGGUGUUCUUAAGACCUUGAGUAGGGCUCGUCAGGCGUAGCAUUGAGUUUGCCAGGUUUAGCUGUCGUGCGGGGGCUUAGCGAGGGUGUUGUUUAACGCCCGAGCGGCUCUUUUGAAUGGACGUUCAGAGGCUCUUGGUCUAAUGCGGUAUGCCCACCACAGCACGUUGUGAGGUCACCCACAGGCUCAACUGCCGAUCGCGCAUCCAGGACGAUGGCAACGAUGCGUUGUUGAUGAUGGCUCGAAAGAGACUUGACUCAGACGCGUGUCUAGUCCUGGGUCGGGCGGCGACCGAGAUAUACCUGGUAUGAUCCUCUUGCGACGAGCUGCUUUCUGGCCAGACCGACGUCCGGGCGCAACCACUGUGCCGGAAGCGUCUAUCCCAGGCGGUUGACCCAGCUGCAUUAUGCAAGGUCACCUAGCCGGGCGUUGGUCUGAGUGGUGUCAAGUCCGGCACCAUCGGUCACGUCUCGAAACACGGGCCAAGGAGUAUAGCAUGUGUGCAAGUCUAAGGGUCUCACAAAACCCGAAGGCGAAGUGAAAGCAAGACUGUGGCGGGUGAGCUACGGCAAACCCGCCGGCCUGGUGGCGCGUGCGCCGCCGGCUUAAACAGAGCUGAUCCUGUUUUCUCGGUUAAUUCUUGGUGCAGGCGCAAGCUCCGGGCUCACGUACAACACUGGUUACGCCUCGUGUGUGGCUGUGUUGUGAGCACCGUAGGAGCAUGC
rnacentral:rRNA from 1 species